rnacentral:rRNA from 1 species
UUGAACGCUGGCGGCAUGCCUUACACAUGCAAGUCGAACGGUAACGCGGGGCAACCUGGCGACGAGUGGCGAACGGGUGAGUAAUACAUCGGAACGUGCCCAGUAGUGGGGGAUAGCCCGGCGAAAGCCGGAUUAAUACCGCAUACGACCUAUGGGUGAAAGCGGGGGAUCGCAAGACCUCGCGCUAUUGGAGCGGCCGAUGUCAGAUUAGCUAGUUGGUGGGGUAAAAGCCUACCAAGGCGACGAUCUGUAGCUGGUCUGAGAGGACGACCAGCCACACUGGGACUGAGACACGGCCCAGACUCCUACGGGAGGCAGCAGUGGGGAAUUUUGGACAAUGGGGGAAACCCUGAUCCAGCCAUGCCGCGUGCGGGAAGAAGGCCUUCGGGUUGUAAACCGCUUUUGUCGGGGAAGAAACGGUCUGCGCUAAUACCGCGGGCUAAUGACGGUACCCGAAGAAUAAGCACCGGCUAACUACGU